rnacentral:rRNA from 1 species
GAGACACGGCCCAGACUCCUACGGGGAGGCAGCAGUGGGGGAAUUUUGGACAAUGGGCGCAAGCCUGAUCCAGCCAUGCCGCGUGUCUGAAGAAGGCCUUCGGUUGUAAGGACUUUGUCAGGGAGCAAAACUACUGGUUAAUACCUGGUGAGGUUGAGAGUACCUGAAGAAUAAGCACCGGCUAACUACGUGCCAGCAGCCGCGGUAAUACGUAGGGUGCAAGCGUUAAUCGGAAUUACUGGGCGUAAAGCGUGCGCAGGCGGACUUUUAAGCCAGAUGUGAAAGCCCCGAGCUUAACUUGGGAAUUGCGUUUGGAACUGGGAGUCUAGAGUCUGUCAGAGGGGGAUGGAAUUCCACGUGUAGCAGUGAAAUGCGUAGAGAUGUGGAGGAACACCGAUGGCGAAGGCAGUCCCCUGGGAUAA